GUGCUCACUCCUGCAGCACAUACACUAAAAUUGGAACCAUACAGAGAAGAUUAGCAUGGCUCCUGCGCAAGGAUGACAUGCAAAUUUGUGAAGCGUUCCAUAUUUUU
rnacentral:snRNA from 1 species